AUGCAAUCUAUCAGGCAUAGCAUUCAAAGAUACAAAGAGCGCCGCUUGCAGGCUGGGCUAUUUUACUUUGCGCAUGAUUUAGGCGGAACCAGGCUGACUACCCAUACGCACUUGUACAAAAUGCCUCUCAAGGAAGCGUUAAGGAAACAUCGACAAGAAAAUAAAAAGAGGAAACAGCUACUGAAUGCUUUCAACAAUUCAAAGAAAUCAAGCAUCUUUAACACCAUCAUGCAGAGACCAUCUGUGAAAAGGCUAGUCACGUAUACAGUGUCUUCCCUUGUAUUGGGUUGCCUUAUAAUUUUUCUAUGA
rnacentral:rRNA from 1 species